rnacentral:rRNA from 1 species
UACGUAGGGUGCAAGCGUUGUCCGGAAUUAUUGGGCGUAAAGAGCUCGUAGGCGGCUUGUCGCGUCGGCUGUGAAAACCUGGGGCUCAACCCCGGGCCUGCAGCCGAUACGGGCAAGCUAGAGUUCGGUAGGGGAGACUGGAAUUCCUGGUGUAGCGGUGAAAUGCGCAGAUAUCAGGAGGAACACCGGUGGCGAAGGCGGGUCUCUGGACCGAUACUGACGCUGAGGAGCGAAAGCGUGGGGAGCGAACAGG